GGCAAGAGCAUCACGAGUGUAAUGACACAGUCCACUAGCAACAAUAACUCGUUGGGCUCAAACACCGGUCCAAAAGCCCAGUUAUUAUUACUAGUGUCUAAGUCUCUUAUAUACCCAAUCACAUCCCUAUUCCUAUCCGAUAUGGGAUUAUUAGGGUGUAACAGACUCCCCCCAUUAAGGCCCUGACAUUCUCGUCAGUUCAAUCACACACACAGCCCAAGAUCACCAAGCGAUGUGAGACUCGUCUCGCUAGCCUUGUCAUCCAGACCCUGGCAUAGCCAGUCACCUUGUCAUAUAGACUCCGGCAUAGCCUAUCACCUUGUCUUUCAGAUCUUGGCUCAGUCGAGACUCGCCACACAUUUUCAGCUGGUGAUUGGCUCUGAUACCAAAUGUAACGACCCAGUCCACUAGCAACAAUAACUCGUUGGGCUCAAACACCGGUCCAAAAUGCUUAAGCCCAGUUAUUAUUACUAGUGUCUAAGUCUCUUAUAUAUCCAAUCACAUCCCCAUUCCUAUCCGAUGUGGUAUUAUUGGGGUAUGACAACAAGUUAGUAAGAUCGUCCAAGAGUAAGUGUAAAGGGUACCAUUUUGUAUAAUCAAUAAACCAUGUAUUAUUUUGGAUAACUAUGAAUGUAAACUCAGGAGAAAUAUAAUGAUGUGAGAUUUAAAUUAGAAGUUAAUUUACUAUGAUGCAUUAUUGUAGCUAUAUCAUGUAUAUAUAUAUGCUGUACAUAUUGGUGUAUAUUUUCAUUUCUUACCAGUAGGAAAAAUUUUGCAUGUUUGGUAGAUCUAUUGUACAUGUCCGAACGGGUCAAAUAGGCGGGCCUUGAAGCAUGACAAUAAUAAGUUACACAUCAGAAUGCUCCAAGAGUAAGUGCAAUUGGUAAUCAUGUGAGAAUAUAAUGAUUGUAAACUCGAGAAUUGUAAUGAUGCGAGAUUUAAAUUAGAAGUUAAUUUAUUAUGAUGCAUUAUUGUAGCAUUAUCAUGUAUAUAUCUGUUGUACGUAUUGGUGUAUAUUUUUGCUUCGUACAAGUAGAAAAAUGGGGUGUUUGGCCUAACUUUUAAAAAGCGCUUUUGGGUUGAAAAGUGAUUUUCGGUUCAAUAGAGCGUUUGGCAACCUCAUUUUUAAAAUCUGAUUCUGCUUUUCAGAAUCAAAAAACUGAUUUUGAAGGCCUUAGAAUAAGAAGCAGAAAAAAGCUACUUCUUGAAAUCUUAUUCUGAUUUUGGACUCAAACUUCAAAUUUUUAUUUUUAUUUUAAAUUCAAUGUUUAAAUUUAAAUUUAAUUUUAAAUUUUAAUUUUUAGAUUUAUUUUUGAAUUUUUAAAUUUUAACUUAAAAAUUUUAAAAUUUAAAAAAUAGAUUUCAAACUUUAAACUUUAAAUUUUAAUUUUAAAUUUCAAAUCUCAAAUUUUAGAUUUUAAUUUUUCAAAUUUCAAAUUUUAAAUUUUAAAUUUGACAUUUUAAAUUUUAAAAUUUAAUUUUAAAAACAUAAAAAUUUUAAAUUUAAAUUACAAAUUUUAAUCUUCAAAUUAUAAAUUUUAAAUUUUUAAAAUUUAAAUUUUAAAUAUUUAAAAUUUAAGCUUUACACUCAAAAUUUUAAAAAUCAUUUCAGAAAAAUCGCUUUUAUUUAAACUCAGCCAAACACACUACAGCUUUUAACCAAAACUAUUUCUCCAAAUCAAAAUCACUUUUUCAGAAUUUAUUUUUUCAGAAAUUAGGCUAAACGGGCCCAAAAUCUUGCAUAUUUGAUAAAU
rnacentral:lncRNA from 1 species